rnacentral:lncRNA from 1 species
CCUCUUACUUGGUUCAUGACUGGAAUUAGAAUCAGAAUAAGAAUUAGAAUGGAUUAAAUAGAAAUCAGAAUGACCAAAUCCUCCGAAGCAUUUGGUUCAUGAUCAGAAUCAGAAUUAGAAUUAAAAUAAAAAUUUGAAUCUAUGGUGGAGAAUGGGGAUUGAGUUUUAGAUAGAUUGGGCUAUUUUCAUGCUACCCCGAAAUCAAAAUUAAAAUGGGACUUACCCCAACCAAGCGACUGAAAUAGGAGUCAUCCAUUUGGAUUUCUAUUCCAGACCUCGAUUCCUCCUAACCAAGCACCCCCUAAUGUAUUGGACUUGUGAUGAUGGUU